GAGAAAUUUUGUUAACUUUGUUUGCAUCACCAUUUGAAAUCACUGUGAUUUUGGCUUGGUGGUCCUGUGACAUUCAUUCCAGUCUUCAUUUGUUGAGUGACCAAUCAGAUGGGUGGAGUGUGUUACAGAAACUGGCAGCAAGUAUCCAAUGGGUGAAGAAGGUAAGAUAGACCAACAUUACUGAGAGGUUCAUGUGUUACUAUUUAUAUGGAAGCAGAAACUAUAUCUACCGAGGUGUUCCUCAAACCUGUUUGCUUUGAAC
rnacentral:lncRNA from 1 species